AUACUUUAAGAUUCAGAAAUACUUCAUUUUUGGCCCCUUCCCUCUUUCUUUUUACAAUAAAUUCUUCCUCCUUGUCUGGUGGGAGUGUGGCCAGAUGUGCUGCUGGAAAGAUCCCCCUGGACACAUUUGCUGCCGUGUGUCUGUUCAUCACCUUGCUGGGUCUCAUCCUCCCUCCGGCUGGAACAGUCUGCGUGGCAGCGAGGGAAUGGGGGUCAGCCUGCAGGACAUCGCGGGAACACGGGGAACCUCUGGCCACUUAGGGGAGUCUGCCAUUGAGAGAGGCGGAGAACAAUGAACAAAGAAGCAGAAUCCCACGGACACACUGCCCGGCACAUCUCCUCCUGUCAGCAGCCUCCAGCAGAGUAAAAAUGGUUGGUUAAGUGCAAGGUCGUUUUUAAAGAUGCAUCAGAAUUCAGACAAAGGAAUAACCCCCAAAGGCAUACUCAGAGACUUUCUCAGUCACCUGGUAAGGUUGCAGCCUCUUCACCUGUAUUCAGUGUGCUUGUUGGUUGGACUGUUCUCUCUUGUUCCCUGGGGACCUGUCUGGGAAAUGCCCAAAUUCCACUGGGAUAACUGCCGGCGAGCAUGGUGGACGAAUCUGCUGUUGCUAAAUAACUUUGUGUCGGUCAAGAAUGCAUGCAAUGGCUGGACCUGGUACCUUGCCAAUGACUUCCAGUUCCACCUCACCACACCAGUGAUUAUCUUCAUCCAUGUAAAGAGUACACAGAUCCUCAUCCUCCUUGGGGCCAUGCUGUUCUUGGCAUCUUUCACAGCCACUGCUCUGAUCACAUUGGCAUAUAAACUUCCUGUCGUGGCUCCAUCAGAAACCAGGUCCUCUCUGAACUCAACGUUGCCCAUUGAAACGCUUCUCAGAGGAAAGGAGCGCCCCCAUGUGGCUGUACUGUGUUUCUCCUCCAGCAGCCAAUGGCUGCUUGGUGGCUCUGUUGGAUGGAGAGACUGAACCUACCUCUUCAAGGUCACACAACUAGUAGGUGGCACAGGUGUGAUUUGAACCUAGAAGCCAAUCCACAGUGCUAUUUCCCCUCCCCAAUGAGGCAUGUAUGACACUUACACAGGAAAAACUGUUAUGAUUACCUGCUAAUCUUCUCUCAAUGCAGUGACACAAAUGAAAAUCAGAUUACGUCAGUCAUCUGCUCGAAUUCCUCCAGUGGCCUCAUUGGUCACCCUCCUACCUGCUGACACUGGACCAGCCACACCAACUCAUCUCAACGCACCAAGCACUUUCCCCGAACCCCCUUCCCCACCCUCCC
rnacentral:lncRNA from 1 species